AGAUUGUGAUAUCGACAGAAUGGGACCGUGCAUUACACAUUUUCUAGCAUUUUGUUUGUUCCUGUCUGUAACAGUUCAGAAUCCUUUAGAUAACAGGACUGUAAUGCUGGCAUCCAGAUCAGCAAGAAAGGUCCGAAGCACUGGUCUUUUAGGGGAGUUUGAAAUGAUGAAUGCUCUGGCUGAGGUUAUGAACUCAUAUCUUGCACAUGGACUGAAUAUAUCUUAUUAUGGAAAAUGAGAUAAACAAGGAGUUCUUCCACGUAGGAAUCACCAACGACCAAGAAAUAAAAAGUGAUGUUUUGUACAUAGACAUUAAAAUUGAAGAAAUAAAUUGCUCAUGCUCAAUGAAUGGAA